GCAUGAUAUGCAGAAAAUUAAAAAAAACACACACACAAAAAGUCAUCAUGGCGCUCGAGAGUGUGUGCGGUUUCAACUUCCAGAGAGCGGGACUUGGAGCGAAAACACGGCAUUGUAUGGACGUGAACUUUCUGCAUGAUGAUCCUCUUGAAAAUCCAAAGUUUACGGUCCCAGCAGUUGAGGAGCCUGCAGAAUUCCUGAAAAACUUCUCCGGAGGCGAUGGCUCAUCUCCAAAUAUUGAGUUUCUCCACGGAACCACCACCUUAGGUUUUAAGUUCCAGCACGGGGUCAUUAUAGCGGUCGACUCAAGGGCCACUGCGGGCAACUAUAUCGCCUCGCAGACUGUCAAGAAAGUCAUCGAGAUCAACCCCUAUUUAUUGGGCACCAUGGCCGGGGGUGCCGCAGACUGCAUGUUCUGGGAGCGUGUCCUGGCGGAACGCUGCAGAAUUUAUGAACUGCGGAAUAAGGAGAGGAUAUCGGUAGCAGCAGCCUCCAAGCUACUGGCCAACAUCCUGUACAACUACAAGGGAAUGGGACUGUCUGUGGGAACAAUGAUAUGUGGCUGGGACAAAACGGGUCCCGGUUUGUACUACGUGGACAGCGAUGGCAGCAGGCUCACCCAUAACAUCUUCUCCGUGGGAUCCGGUUCACCCUACGCCUACGGUGUGCUGGACAGCGGACAUCGCGAUGACCUGACGGUGAAGGAAGCCUACGACCUGGGUCAGAGGGCCAUCUACCACGCCACGCACCGGGAUGCCUACAGUGGAGGCGUGGUUAACCUUUACCACAUGAAGGAGACUGGCUGGGAGUUCAUAUCACAGACGGACACAAAGCUCCUACAUUACCAGUAUCAAGAUGAGAAGAAAGCCAAAUAGAUGCAGUAGUAUAUCUCAUCAGCAACAUCCCAAGAAACGUUCUCAUUUUUUUUAGUGGACUUUAUAUGAAACAUCAAGCCUUUGUAUUACAGCCGUCGUUGAGUUGUGCGCUUUUGUCCCACAGCGAUACCCAUGAGUAGCCCUCUUGAAUAUUGAUUGUUACUGUUUCAAAUGACACAAAAACACCUCAAAGAUGUCCUCUGAAUGGAAAGUGUCUAUACUCUGGUAGUGUUGUGUCAUGUUCGCUUAAUUAGGUCCAUUUUUUAAGGAAAUUCUUUGCAUUUUUUUGGGAAACCCUUUUUCUUUCAGGAAACCCUUUGUAUGAAAAAAAGGAGGAAGAUUUGUUGAUACCACGGAGUAACUUGAACGGCUAAAUGUAAAAUGUAUACAUAUACAUGUAUUGAGGUCGCAGGUUCAAACCCCGCUCCAGUCAAUUUCUUUGUUCAACUUUUCACAAAUUGUUAUAAUUCACGUAUUAGUCUGUUUCCCUUUGUGGUUCAUUUGAGAAUUUGUAAUAAAAAGCCGUAUCCUCUCUGAGUGAUCGCCAUUUGCUA
rnacentral:misc_RNA from 1 species